UAGAUACCCUGGUAGUCCACGCUGUAAACGAUGAGUACUAGGUGUCGGGGGUUACCCCCUUCGGUGCCGCAGCUAACGCAUUAAGUACUCCGCCUGGGAAGUACGCUCGCAAGAGUGAAACUCAAAGGACUUGACGGGGACCCGCACAAGUAGCGGAGCAUGUGGUUUAAUUCGAAGCAACGCGAAGAACCUUACCUAAGCUUGACAUCCCAAUGACAUCUCCUUAAUCGGAGAGUUCCCUUCGGGGACAUUGGUGACAGGUGGUGCAUGGUUGUCGUCAGCUCGUGUCGUGAGAUGUUGGGUUAAGUCCCGCAACGAGCGCAACCCUUGUCUUUAGUUGCCAUCAUUAAGUUGGGCACUCUAGAGA
rnacentral:rRNA from 1 species